rnacentral:misc_RNA from 1 species
UAAUCAACUUCUAUCAAUCAUCUCAUCCCUGUCUAUGAAUCGCUCAAGCAAGUCUUUAUCUUUCAAAACCAAGCAAUUAUCAGCUUUCCCAAACCAAUCAUAGCGUCCUUUGGCAACAUAGUCAUAAACAGCAUCCCUGAGGGGAGUUGGAAUUAUCAAGAGUGCGCUUAAAGCAGAGUAUGGCAGAGGCAAAUAUGAAAGUACUCUCAGUGCAGCAGUGGAUGCUUGGUGGUAUAAUUCAGGGCCUUCAAUGAAAAUAAAGCGACGGAGAACAUCCUCUCGUUCAAGACCGCAUAAUCUCAAGUACGGCUCAGCAGUCUUAGAUUGGAGGCAACAGAACUUGAUCUUUCUAUAUUUGUCUGCUUCAAUCACCCACUUCACACCUCGAUGGCAGAGAUGGCAGACCCCAUCGUAAACGACUACACGUGGCUGAAGGAGAGAGGGCAUUGUAGCCGCCUUGACGGUGGAAGAAAUAGAUGCACCUGUGUAGGGCAGAUCCUCUUCCGCAGCAACGUCGGCAACAUCAGUCGCAGUAUCUGAAACGACAUCGGUUGGUGAUGGAGAAGCGAAUGGAGAGGUAGAAGAAAAGAAGCGAUGUUUCAAUAAAGAAGAGGAAGAGGAAAAUGGAGAUAUUGCAGUCAAGUUUCGAAGCCUUGCGAUCAGCAUUUUGGUUGCUUUAUUUAUUUUGGCGUAAUUGGAGAUGUCAAGCCAUCGUCUCGACUCUUCGGGGGAAACAGUGAAGUUAAGUAUCUUUUUGGCACUAGGCGCAGCCAGCCAUACAACCGAGCCCGGGUC